UACAGAGGUCCCGAGCGUUGUUCGGAUUCAUUGGGCGUAAAGGGUGCGUAGGCGGCGGGGUAAGUCUGAUGUGAAAUCCCGGGGCUCAACCCCGGAACUGCAUUGGAUACUGCCUUGCUCGAGUACUGGAGAGGGAACUGGAAUUUACGGUGUAGCAGUGAAAUGCGUAGAGAUCGUAAGGAAGGCCGGUGGCGAAGGCGAGUUCCUGGACAGUGACUGACGCUGAGGCACGAAGGCCAGGGGAGCAAACGGG
rnacentral:rRNA from 1 species